ACGCUAGCUAUAGGCUUAACACAUGCAAGUCGAGGGGAAACGGCAUUAUGUGCUUGCACAUUUUGGACGUCGACCGGCGCACGGGUGAGUAUCGCGUAUCCAACCUGCCCUUUACUUGGGGAUACCCCGUUGAAAGACGGCCUAAUACCCGAUGUAAUUCAUUGAUGGCAUCAGAUAUGAAUAAAAGAUUUAUCGGUAAAGGAUGGGGAUGCGUCUGAUUAGCUUGUUGGUGAGGUAAAGGCUCACCAAGGCAACGAUCAGUAGGGGUUCUGAGAGGAAGGUCCCCCACAUUGGAACUGAGACACGGUCCAAACUCCUACGGGAGGCAGCAGUGAGGAAUAUUGGUCAAUGGGCGCAAGCCUGAACCAGCCAAGUAGCGUGCAGGAAGACGGCCCUAUGGGUUGUAAACUGCUUUUAUACGAGAAUAAUUUGAUACACGUGUGCGUUAUUGCAUGUAUCGUAUGAAUAAGGACCGGCUAAUUCCGUGCCAGCAGCCGCGGUAAUACGGAAGGUCCAGGCGUUAUCCGGAUUUAUUGGGUUUAAAGGGAGUGUAGGCGGUUUGUUAAGCGUGUUGUGAAAUUUAGGUGCUCAACAUUUAACUUGCAGCGCGAACUGUCAGACUUGAGUACACGCAACGUAUGCGGAAUUCAUGGUGUAGCGGUGAAAUGCUUAGAUAUCAUGAAGAACUCCGAUUGCGAAGGCAGCAUACGGGAGUGUAACUGACGCUUAAGCUCGAAGGUGCGGGUAUCGAACAGGAUUAGAUACCCUGGUAGUCCGCACAGUAAUCGAUGGAUGCCCGCUGUUAGCGCCUGGCGUUAGCGGCUAAGCGAAAGCAUUAAGCAUCCCACCUGGGGAGUACGCCGGCAACGGUGAAACUCAAAGGAAUUGACGGGGGCCCGCACAAGCGGAGGAACAUGUGGUU
rnacentral:rRNA from 1 species